rnacentral:rRNA from 1 species
GAGGCAGCCGACCACGGUAGGGUCAGCGACUGGGGUGAAGUCGUAACAAGGUAGCCGUAGGGGAACCUGCGGCUGGAUCACCUCCUUUCUAUGG